rnacentral:misc_RNA from 1 species
GAUGAAGAACGCAGCAAAAUGCGAUAAGUAAUGUGAAUUGCAGAAUUCAGUGAAUCAUCGAAUCUUUGAACGCACAUUGCGCCCGCCAGUAUUCUGGCGGGCAUGCCUGUUCGAGCGUCAUUUCAACCCUCAAGCACAGCUUGGUGUUGGGACUCGCGUUAAUUCGCGUUCCCCAAAUUGAUUGGCGGUCACGUCGAGCUUCCAUAGCGUAGUAGUAAAACCCUCGUUACUGGUAAUCGUCGCGGCCACGCCGUUAAACCCCAACUUCUGAAUGUUGACCUCGGAUCAGGUAGGAAUACCCGCUGAACUUAAGCAUAUCAAAAGCGGAGGA